rnacentral:lncRNA from 1 species
AGCAUUCUUUAUCAACGGCAAUAAGCCCUUUCCCUCCUCUCACUACCAAGCAUCCUCCAAAUAGUGGUCGUGUUGGCAUAUAAAAUGGCCCAAGGCUUGCAACAGUGAAUUUCUGAUGAGGAAACAGAAGCUGGGAUAUGUGAGUAAACAUUUCCAAGGUCCUGCAGCUAAUCAAUGGUUGACAACUUCUUUCCUCUGCCUAUGUUGCCAUCCAUGUCAUGGUUUGUGUCAAGACUCUAGGAGAAGUCUACCAUCAGCACCACAGCUACUGUGCACAAAUCCAGAAUGCCAGACUGAAGUCAGAAGGAAAGGGUUCUUAAACAAGGGAGAAGCACUCUCAUACCCCUAGAACAAGAUGAACAAAAGAAGGAGGAAAAAUCUUGACCUCCGUAAGAUCCAGGAUGGCACGUGCAAGGCACUGACACAGCAUCUGCCGGCAUCACUGACUCUCCUGGACCCCAGAAGCCCAGUUCCCCAGGCUCUGAAACCCUGCAGCAAUGAAAAGGAAGCACAGGCAAACCAUAAGGAAGAUAAUUUUUCUACUAAAAAAUAAAUAGAAAUGCAUCCUUAGAGGCAGGUUUCAUGAGGACACAGAGAAUCCGGUUUUGUGUGUGCCUGAUUUCGUUUUUCUGUCAAAGAGAUACAAAACAAUCAACUGAGUUAUCUUGAACUUACAAAGAUUAAAAAUAAUCAAUUCCUGUUACUAUUUUCAAUUUUUCCCCCAUUUUACUUCUUUAGGUAUGAAGAAAUGUAGCCUAUUAAAACCUGGAUUAAUAAAAACCUUUCAUUAACUUUU